rnacentral:rRNA from 1 species
AUUGAACGCUGGCGGCAGGCCUAACACAUGCAAGUCGAGCGGAUGAAGGGAGCUUUCUCCUGGAUUCAGCGGCGGACGGGUGAGUAAUGCCUAGGAAUCUGCCUUGUAGUGGGGGAUAACGUCCGUAAACGGGCGCUAAUACCGCAUACGUCCUGAUGGAGAAAGUGGGGGAUCUUCGGACCUCACGCUAUCAGAUGAGCCUAGGUCGGAUUAGCUAGUUGGUGGGGUAAAGGCCUACCAAGGCGACGAUCCGUAACUGGUCUGAGAGGAUGAUCAGUCACACUGGAACUGAGACACGGUCCAGACUCCUACGGGAGGCAGCAGUGGGGAAUAUUGGACAAUGGGCGAAAGCCUGAUCCAGCCAUGCCGCGUGUGUGAAGAAGGUCUUCGGAUUGUAAAGCACUUUAAGUUGGGAGGAAGGGCAGUAAGUGAAUACCUUGCUGUUUUGACGUUACCAACAGAAUAAGCACCGGCUAACUUCGUG